UACGGAAGGCAGCAGGGGGAAUAUUGCACAAUGGGCGCAAGCCUGAUGCAGCCAUGCCGCGUGUAUGAAAAGGCCUUCGGGUUGUAAAGUACUUUCAGUCGUGAGGAAGGUGUUAAGGUUAAUAACCUUAGCAAUUGACGUUAGCGACAGAAGAAGCACCGGCUAACUCCGUGCCAGCAGCCGCGGUAAUACGGAGGGUGCGAGCGUUAAUCGGAAUUACUGGGCGUAAAGGGCACGCAGGCGGUUAAUUAAGUUGGAUGUGAAAUCCCCGGGCUUAACCUGGGAAUGGCAUUCAAGACUGGUUAGCUAGAGUCUUGUAGAGGGGGUAGAAUUCCAUGUGUAGCGGUGAAAUGCGUAGAGAUGUGGAGGAAUACCGGUGGCGAAAGGCGGCCCCUGGACAAAGACUGACGCUCAUGUGCGAAAGCGUGGGGAGCAAACAGGGAUUAGAUACC
rnacentral:rRNA from 1 species